ensembl:lncRNA
CUUCGGUUUGGCAAGAGUUUAAUCACAUAAUACAAGGAGAAAGCGAGGGCAGAAAACACACACAAUAAAGACACACAUAAACAUUUAUAUUUACAUUUAGGACAAUUAACAGACGCUUUUAUCCAAAGCGACUUACAAUAAGUACAUUGGUCAGAAACAUAAAAUAAAUAUAAAAUAAACUAGACAUACAUUCUGACCAUAUACAUCCAUGGCUGUUAAAAUCACCAUAGUAACAGCAGCAUUCUGAAGGGUAUCAGUCAACAGUAACAGCAACAUUCUAAUGGGUAUCCAUCACCAUAGUAGCAGCAGCAUUCUAAAGGACAUCAAUCACCAUAGAGACAGCAGUAUACUGAAGGAUAUCCAUCACCAUGGUUACAGCAGUAUACUAAAGGAUAUCCAUCACCAUGGUUACAGCAGUAUUAUAAAUGGUACACAUCACAAGAGUAACCGCUGCAAUCUGAAGUUAAUUUUGUCACCAUAGUAACAGAAUUCUAAAGGGUUUCCAUCACCAUAGUAACAGCAGCAUUCAGAAGGGUUUCCAUCACCAUAGUAACAGCAGUAUUCUAAAAGUUAUCAAUCACCAUAGUAAAAGCAGAAAUCUAAAGGAUAUCAGUUACAAUAGUUAACACAGUUAUGUUCAACAUAGUGCAAAUAAAGGGCACUGCUCUGGGGAUUUCAUUGGUUUAAAUCAACAUUUACCAGUAAGUUAGGAUAGGGAAAAUGUCAAAGUUUAAACAAAGGAAAUCUACAAGAGUUUGACGUAGCAUAGGAUGAUGUUCACAUUCUUGGUCCAACUCGGUUAUUCUAAGGUUCAUUCAGAGUAAGGCUGUUUCUGACACAAUAUUCUUUAAGCCUUUUCCUCAAGAGUGUUAAGCCACAUAUACUGAAUACGUUCCACAUUAUCACAGUCAAUCUAUUACUCUUAUUCAAUCUCUUCAAAAUACUAUUCUGUUCAAAUUGAUUCCGAUAAUCUGUAUUCAAAUAUAUAUAAAUAUAAUUGUAUGCAAUUUACAGUAUAAAUCAAUGCUUCCUGCCUUUAAUUGUAUACAAAUUAACUGUAGCACGCAACUGUGGCACACACAUAUUAACUAAGAUCUAUUCUGGGUGAUAACUAGCAUUACCACACUGGGAGCUGACCAGUAUAACCAGUACAACCAGCAUAAACAAUGAACCAGUAAAAGCAGUAUUUUAUGAUAUGAUGUUACUAGUUAGGACCAGUAUAACCAGUAUGACAUGGUGGGAUCCUGCUUGUUCUUACCAGUGUAACCAGUAAAACCAGUGCAACCGAUCUAACCAGCAUAACCAGUGUAUCAUAGUGUGUUGCUACUGAUUCAGACCAGUAUAACCAGUAUAACCAGUAGGUCAUAGCAUGUUGCUACUGAUUCAGACCAGUAUAACCAGUAUGUCAUGGUGUGAAGCAACUGAUUCAGACCAGUAUAACCAGUAGGUCAUAUCAUGUUGCUACUGUUUAAGACCAGUAUAACCAGUAUAACCAGUAGGUCAUAGCAUGUUGCUACUGUUUAAGACCAGUAUAACCAGUAUGUCAUGGUGUGAUGCUACUGGUUCAGACCAGUAUAACCAGUAUGUCAUGGUGUGAUGCUACUGGUUCAGACCAGUAUAACCAGUAUGUCAUGUGGUGAUGCUACUGGUUCAGACCAGUAUAACCAGUAUGUCAUGGUGUGAUGCUACUGGUUCAGACCAGUAUAACCAGUAUGUCAUGGCGUUAUGCUACUGUUUCAGACCAGUAUCACCAGUAUAACCAGUAUGUCAUGGUGUAAUGCUACCAGUAUAACCAGUUGGUCAUGGUGUAAUGUUACUGGUUCAGACCAGUAUAACCAGUAUGUCAUGGUGUGAUGCUACUGGUUCAGACCAGUAUAACCAGUAGGUCAGGGUGUGAUGCUACUGGUUCAGACCAGUAUAACCAGUAGGUCAGGGUGUGAUGCAACUGGUUCAGACCAGUACCACCAGUAUCACCAGUAUAACCAGUAGGUCAUAGCAUGUUGCUACUGUGUAAGACCAGUAUAACCAGUAGGUCAUGGUGUAAUGUUACUGGUUCAGACCAGUAUAACCAGUAUGUCAUGGUGUGAUGCUACUGGUUCAGACGAGUAUCAUCAGUAUAACCAGUAGGUCAGGGUGUGAUGCUACUGGUUCAGACCAGUAUCACCACUAUACCCAGUAGGUCAGGGCGUGAUGCUGUGUUCCUGGGCCAGCGCCGCCAGCUCUUUGAGGAACUCUCCGUACAGGACGAUGGCGAACACCCUCGCCUUGUCCUGGGACUGCAUGGGGGGGCAGGGGGGCAGCGGGGGGGCACCCGUCCCGCUGGGAGCUACACAUCACAGCAGUAAGAGUUAUUACAUAUACUCUGUUAGUACCUAAACUACACAGUGAGUAAGAGUUAUCACAUGAUCUGUUA